GCUGGGUGUGGUGGUGAAUGCCUGUAAUCCCAGUGGCUCAGGAGGCUGAGACAGGAAGAUUGUGAGUUCAAACCAGCCUUGGCAAAAGCAAGGCACAAAGCAACUCAGUGAGACCCUGUCUCUA
rnacentral:sRNA from 1 species